rnacentral:rRNA from 1 species
AGAGUUUGAUCCUGGCUCAGGACGAACGCUGGCGGCGUGCUUAACACAUGCAAGUCGAACGGAAAGCGCUUUUCGGAGUGACUCGAGUGGCGAACGGGUGAGUAACACGUGGGUGAUCUGCCCUGCACUUUGGGAUAAGCCUGGGAAACUGGGUCUAAUACCGGAUAGGACUACGAAUCGCAUGGUUUGUGGUGGAAAGCUUUUGCGGUGUGGGAUGGGCCCGCGGCCUAUCGGCUUGUUGGUGGGGUGAUGGCCUACCAAGGCGACGACGGGUAGCCGGCCUGAGAGGGUGUCCGGCCACACUGGGACUGAGAUACGGCCCAGACUCCUACGGGAGGCAGCAGUGGGGAAUAUUGCACAAUGGGCGCAAGCCUGAUGCAGCGACGCCGCGUGAGGGAUGACGGCCUUCGGGUUGUAAACCUCUUUCAACAGGGACGAAGCGCGAGUGACGGUACCUGUAGAAGAAGCACCGGCCAACUACGUGCCAGCAGCCGCGGUAAU